rnacentral:rRNA from 1 species
GAUGAACGCUGGCGGCGUGCCUAAUACAUGCAAGUCGAGCGAACAGAUGAGGAGCUUGCUCCUCUGACGUUAGCGGCGGACGGGUGAGUAACACGUGGAUAACCUACCUAUAAGACUGGGAUAACUUCGGGAAACCGGAGCUAAUACCGGAUAAUAUAUUGAACCGCAUGGUUCAAUAGUGAAAGACGGUUUUGCUGUCACUUAUAGAUGGAUCCGCGCCGCAUUAGCUAGUUGGUAAGGUAACGGCUUACCAAGGCAACGAUGCGUAGCCGACCUGAGAGGGUGAUCGGCCACACUGGAACUGAGACACGGUCCAGACUCCUACGGGAGGCAGCAGUAGGGAAUCUUCGGCAAUGGGCGAAAGCCUGACGGAGCAACGCCGCGUGGGUGAUGAAGGUCUUCGGAUCGUAAAGCUCUGUUAUUAGGGAAGAACAAAUGUGUAAGUAACUAUGCACGUCUUGACGGUACCUAAUCAGAAAGCCACGGCUAACUACGUG